GGCCUGGCCUGAGCUGGCCCAGAGGCCGUGGUGGGGAGCCUGGUGGUCAGACAGUGGCUCUGGGUCAGGUAGAGAAUGGCUGACAGGGAAAGAAGCGGAUAAGGCCCAGCGCCCGGCCCUCGGAAAGGCCCGGAGAGGCGGAGUGUCACGGGGACCAAGGGAUUAAAUGCAGACACAGCCCCGAGGACGGCACCAGCCACGGGGUCCUUCUCCGGGUGUGCGUUUGCUGAGCACUGACUGCGUGCACCGCCUCGGACGUUAACACUCUCCAUGGAGUGUCUGCAGGAGAGGUUCGAGCCCGGCCAGCGUGGCUCAGUGGUUGAGCGUCGACCUAUGUACCAGGAGGUCAGAGUUCGAUUUCCGGGCAAGGC